UUAGGUAGUUGUUGGGGAAUUGUUAGAUUACUUGUUAGAUUUUACUCCACUGUCAGAACUAGAAGCACAAGCAUUUCACAACACUCACUUUAACAUCUGCUAACAGUGUGUUUGUGACCAAUAAAAUUAGAUUUGAUUUGACACUAUUGAGUUGACUGAGGUUAUACGGCACAGAACCCUCUGACACUAUUGAGUUGACUGAGGUUAUACGGCACAGAGCCCUCUGACACUAUUGAGUUGACUGAGGUUAUACGGCACAGAGGCCUCUGACACUAUUGAGUUGACUGAGGUUAUACGGCACAGAACCCUCUGACACUAUUGAGUUGACUGAGGUUAUACGGCACAGAAUCCUCUGACACUAUUGAGUUGACUGAGGUUUUACGGCACAGAAUCCUCUGACACUAUUGAGUUGACUGAGGUUUUACGGCACAGAAUCCUCUGACACUAUUGAGUUGACUGAGACUGUAUAGGCUACUACUCAGCGUUUGAGGCUGAUAAUAAACAGAGGUCACAGAAAGAGCAUAGACAGAGGAUUUACACACCGAACGAUCAUAGUCACCUACACACGCAUUUACAAACACCAUGGGGAUGUUAUGGGAACAACCAGGGAUGAAAAAGGGCCCCAAAAAAUAUAUUCUGUCCAAUGAUCUGUCCUCUGAUGGAAUGAUUUCUCCAUUCCUGUGUAAUUUGCAGGGGAAAACAGGCCGGUCUGGAUCUGACGGUACUCCAAGUCCUAAAGGAUUUCGUGUAAAUUCUUUGUUUUGUCCUAAAUGAAUCUGUAGUGACAGAAGCAGUGUUUUUACAUACGUUGAUGUUUGUUGGAAUGUUUUUACAUAGGUUGAUGGAUGUACGGAUGCAUUAACCGUCUGGUCUCUGGUGUCACUGUAGGGGGAACCUGGCAUCAAUGGAAGGCCUGGGAUGGAGGGUAUCGAGGGUGACCUAGUGGAGUGACGGAACCUCCUGGGGAUACUGGCAUCAGGUUUCCUACACCUAAGGCCAGUUGAAAUCUGUUGUUAGAGGUGACUUCUACCUCUUUUCUGUCAUACGAUCUCUCUAGUCAUCUCUGACUCUAAUCCUAAUUUAUCCUGUGUCAGAACACCUAGGGUGAUAAAGGAAACCAGGGAAGACCUGGACCUACCAGUCCCAUGGGUAUGAGUGAACCAGGACUGCCAUAUGUCUACUAGUGUCUGAUUGGUCGUCCAGGGCUUCAGGGAACACAAGGGUUCCCAGGAGAGGGUCUACCAGGGCCUAAGGAUGACAUGGGUUCAAGGUUCAAAGGUGACAAGGGAGACCAUGGUCCACCUGGGUCUUCCAGCCCUCGUGGGCCACCAGGGCUGGGAAUAUUCAUCCCAAAGGGUGACCAGGGCUUCCCAGGGCAGCACGGACCACAGGGAGAGAGAGGAGUUGUGGAGCCAGGGCCGAAGGGUGAACCAGGACCUGACGGAUCCUCUGGGAUACCUGGUAUACUUGGGGAAGAUGGAGCGGUCCAACCUAAGGUUGUCACGUCCUGACCAGUAUAAGGGUUAUUUGUUAUUGUAGUUUGGUCAGGACGUGGCAGAGGGUAUUUUGUUUAUGUGGUUCGGGGUGGUGAUUUAUUUAAUAGGGUGUUGGUUUAGUUAGUUCUGGGUUUUUGGGGUUAUGUUCUAGGUUUGUAUUUCUAUGUGGUCUCUAGUCUUUUGUAUUUCUAUGUCUAGUUUAUUGGGGUUGGACUCUCAAUUGGAGGCAGGUGUUUUCUAGUUGCCUCUGGUUGAGAGUCCUAUAUAUGGGUAUGUGCUUGUGGGAGAUUGUUUCUUGUUUUGCCUGUGGGAGCCUGACAAGACUGUUUUGUUGUUCGUGCAUUCUUCGUUUUGUUAUUUUGGUGUUCCCUUUAUUUAAAAUAAAUAACAAGAUGAGCAUCCACAUUCCUGCUGCGUUUUGGUCCUCUAUUCCCGACGACAGCCGUUACAAAGGUAAGCAAGGUGUCAAAAGUUCAUUUAGAGGUCAAAGUUCAUUGGGCCCCAUUGUUCAUCUACUAUACAGUAUAAAGAGCACAGACAUUUGAAGUAGUUAUUACAUAACUUGUUUAUUGUCUGCAUUUUCUUUGUGUCUUGAAACAGGGUGAGAUUGGUUUGCCAGGACUGCGAGGAACAGAGUGUGCGCCUGGGAAAGGAAUUCCUGGAUUUUUUGUUGUUGAAGGUUUAGGGAUCUAGAAUGUUUACCCAGACAACCACCCAGAGUCCUAUAGAAACCUUUAGUAGUUCUGGCCUACCUGCAUACACCUACGUUAUACACAGCAUUGUCUGCUUCCAGUAUAAGAGUCAUACUGAUUAACUCAAACUUAAGCAAUACAAGAGAGGAUAUCCUGAAUAGUCAACCUUUGAAGUACAGGAUGGACAAAUAUUGUGCUGGGUCUUACACAACUUAAUUGAGUGAGUUUACCAGUCACCCUCUCCUGGGUGACAAAAUAUUGAACAUGCCCUAUACGUCAGGCUGGCUGAAUAAACAUUUCCUGAACACAAAGUCAAUAUAUAUCCACUACAACUAGACUCCCUGACUGGUGCUUCACCUUUAAAAGGCAGUUCCAAGCAAUAUUAUAUGUCAUAAUGAAAUAUGAUAAGUUAUGAAUGGUACCUCUAUUGAUAACGGAAGCUUAAACACAGUAGUGGUGCUUUUAGAGAAUCCAGACAGGGUUGGGCGUCCCAAAUAGCAUCUUAUACCCUUAAAGUGUGGUCCACUGCACUCUCGUGGAACUGGGUCCUUUCUAUGACUUCUGCAGUGAAACCUUUGACAAUGACGACCAAAAUGGUCAAGAAUUUGUCCAGGUCCUAGUUAUAGGCUAGCUACCUGAGCAGGUAAUAUGGGAAAUGUUAGGGUUAACAAUGUUAGGGUUACCAAUUCCCCCACCAAAAAAACCUCAGUCUCAACUUACUGUUGAUAGUUAAGUUAAUAGAAUACACAAGGUGCAAUUUCGAAAUUUGGUUGUGCAUCACCAGUCACUCAAUUAGCCCAUGUCAAUUUCUUUUUUAGGUUGGUAAGUUAGUCUGGUGGCCAGCUAUCUAAACUUGUAGUAAGCAUGGUCGAAUUACCGACCGGGGUGGGGCCCAUUGAUCAUCAGCUAUCAUGUUAAAAACUGCAAACAUUUGCCUUCAACCUAUGGCAAAUUGUGUAGAAUUGCAGGAAAUUAGCUGUAAAACUGUACAUUUUUAUCUCCGCUCCAUGGCAAGAUGAUUAGAAAUGUAGCGAACUUGCUUUAAAACUGCAACAUUUUCUCUAUGCCCCAUGGCAAAAUGUGCAGAAUUGCAGUAAAUUAACUUUAAAACAGAUUUUUUUUCCCCUUUCGCUAUUACGAGGGGGCCGCUAAAAUGUUUUGCUCGCAAGGUGGAGAGAUAUUGAUGUGGGUACACAGACCCACAAGCCACUGGGGCCCCUUAUGAUGAGUUCGGUUUUUUAGUGGCCCCCACCCCCAUCAAAGUUGCCCAUCCCUGCUGUAGAUGUUAGAGAAUGUUAGUGUUUAAGGCGGGUCAUCUUUAAUAGAGGAGGCAUUAGGAUUUAUGGCUGGGUUUGGUUUGAAGUGUUUUUUUAAAGGAAUUCUAGGGGCUAACUUUAGGGUUCGAUUAUAUGGCUGUUUAUGAGUGUCAUCUGAGGUUCCCUUUCAAGUUACAUGUGUGGAAUGCCACUUGGAAUUCUUCA